rnacentral:rRNA from 1 species
GGGGAAUAUUGCACAAUGGGCGCAAGCCUGAUGCAGCAACGCCGCGUGAGUGAUGAAGGCCUUCGGGUCGUAAAACUCUGUCCUAAGGGAAGAAGAAGUGACGGUACCUUAGGAGGAAGCCCCGGCUAACUACGUGCCAGCAGCCGCGGUAAUACGUAGGGGGCAAGCGUUAUCCGGAAUCACUGGGCGUAAAGGGUGCGUAGGCGGCUGAUCAAGCCAGGGGUGAAAGGCAAUAGCUUAACUAUUGUAAGCCUUUGGAACUGGUCAGCUUGAGUGCAGGAGAGGAAAGCGGAAUUCCUAGUGUAGCGGUGAAAUGCGUAGAUAUUAGGAGGAACACCCGUGGCGAAGGCGGCUUUCUGGACUGUAACUGACGCUGAGGCACGAAAGCGUGGGGAGCAAAC